UACGGAGGGUGCAAGCGUUAUCCGGAUUCACUGGGUUUAAAGGGAGCGUAGGUGGGUUGGUAAGUCAGUGGUGAAAUCCCCGAGCUUAACUUGGGAACUGCCAUUGAUACUAUCAGUCUUGAAUACUGUGGAGGUUAGCGGAAUAUGUCAUGUAGCGGUGAAAUGCUUAGAUAUGACAUAGAACACCAAUUGCGAAGGCAGCUUACUACGGAUAUAUUGACACUGAGGCACGAAAGCGUGGGGAUCAAACAGG
rnacentral:rRNA from 1 species